rnacentral:rRNA from 1 species
AGGUGGUAUGUUAAUAGCAUAUUCAUUUGACGUUAGCUGCAGAAGAAGCACCGGCUAACUCCGUGCCAGCAGCCGCGGUAAUACGGAGGGUGCGAGCGUUAAUCGGAAUUACUGGGCGUAAAGCGCAUGCAGGUGGUUUGUUAAGUCAGAUGUGAAAGCCCGGGGCUCAACCUCGGAAUUGCAUUUGAAACUGGCAAACUAGAGUACUGUAGAGGGGGUAGAAUUUCAGGUGUAGCGGUGAAAUGCGUAGAGAUCUGAAGGAAUACCGGUGGCGAAGGCGGCCCCCUGGACAGAUACUGACACUCAGAUGCGAAAGCGUGGGGAGCAAACAGGAUUAGAUACCCUGGUAG